UUCCCUCGAUCCCACCACCUCUUCCUGCUGCUCCAUCAGAUGUUCCCUCACUGUGAUGUCCAUCAACACAGCCCAAAACCCCCAAACACCCCAAGGAUGAAGCCCAAAACCCCCAAACACCCCGAGGAUGAAGCCCAAAACCCCCAAACACCCCGAGGAUGAAGCCCAAAACCCCCAAACACCCCGAGGAUGAAGCCCAAAACCCUCAAACACCCCAAGGAUGAAGGCCAAAAUAUUUUUGGGAGGAUGAAGGACAGCUGGCCAGGGUGACAACUGAGUUGAGGACAUCACGAGACCUUGGGAGCAGCUUUCACAGCGUGGCCAGAACUUCGGGAAUUCAAUUUGUCAGGAGGGGACAAGUUCGGUCACGGUGCGAAACCAACCACAAAACCCUUUUAUUCCCUUUCCAGCCUCAGCAUAAUCCCUGACUUGCAAUUUUUCCAGGAAUUUGGCCGGCUGUCAUGCCGGCUGUCUCAGCAGGAUCGGCGGCUCCGCCGUGCCCGGGGCUCCGGGUGCUGCUCACAUGUUCUUUUUUCCACGGCUGUGAGAGCUUCCUCACGUCCAACCCGUGGUUUUUUUGGGAGCAGAAGGACCCAAACCCAGUCAGGUUUUCUCUUCUGAGCUCCUUUGGGACGUGCAUGGAGCAGGAUGGAGGCUGGGAAAGGUGCAUUAUUGGACAAGCCCUUCAGCUAUUGAAACACAAAGCUGGAUACACUAAUGCAGGUCUGUCCUUGCCUCUGGAACAAACCCCUCCUGGGUGGUGUGUUUAAUUUUUCUGGAGACAUGUUGGUUGGUGCUGCCUGUCAUCGUCUUCCAGGACUAUCUCCAGCUCUGGUUGGGCAGGUCCGUGUCUUCCUUGUUUUCAGGUCCCAGAGCUGAACACACAUCCCCAGUCUCACCAGGGUGGAACAGAGGAGAAGGAUCCCCCCUCGCCUGCUGCUGGAGAUAAGCCCAGGACACAGGGGGUUUCUGUUUGGUGUUUGUUAACAUGGCAGGGCAUGUCCAACACUUCAUCCAUCACCACCCCAUCCUCCUUGGGCUCAAUCCCCUCAUCACCCAGCCUUUAUCCUGCAUGUUUGGGAUUUCUGCAAUCCAGGUGCAGUAGAUUCUGCCUCUCUGAUCUGCUCUGAUGAUAUUGGAGAACUCUGUUAAUCUCUGGGUUACUGGGAGUAAGGAAGACAGGAUUGGUGGAGGAUAUCCAGAGCAUGGUCUCAAGGAUGGAGGGUGAAGGUUUGGGACAGGCAUUGUCCGUGACAUUGGGGCAUUUUUCAGGCUAGCUGCUCUUGCCUGGCACAGCCUGGUGAGUCAUGAGGUUGGGAACAUUUUUCUUCCCACAGCUCUGCAAUUCCAUAUCCUGCUCUUCAGGCUGUGCCCAUUUUACCUUGGCAGCAGCUCUGACGAGUUAGUAUUCAUUCCAGCAUUGGUGGACGAGGAAAGAGGUGCCAGUAUCCUGUACCUGGUCUUCUGCAGGUCCUUUGUUCCUGUACCAGACAGCAUCCUCGUCUCUGACCUGGAGAGAUGUGGAUAUUGGUUGGACUAUUUGGUGGCUAAGGAGUGGAUGGGAUGGUCUCACUCAAAGAGUUGUGGUCAAUGGCUCCAUGUCCCUGUGUAGAGAGCGGGGAUGAGUGGUGGCCAUUCAAGACUCAUGUUGGGAUUAUUAUAAUUUUGCAUCAUUGUCAGAAAUCUGGGUACUGGGAUUUAGUGGGAUGAUCAGCAAAACCAGGGACCAUUCCAAGCUGAGUAGUGUGGUUGGUUAUCUGUAGGGAAGUG
ensembl:lncRNA